AUGAGAGCAAAAGAGAAAAUGUCCUUGAAUUCAACCAAGCAGAGACCCGAUGAGCUGCAGCGGCUCCGGCGGGGACCCCGAGGUCCAGCGCCCCAGCUCUCUGCUCCCGUCAUGCUGCCUGCCAGUACCGCCGCAGAGAACAAGGCCAGCCCCACGGGGACAGCUGGGGCACGUGGGGCUGGAGCCACGGCUGGUGGCGCGUGACCUUUGGCGGCUCAGCCGGGGAGCCAGACGAGCAGCUCAGGGAGGCUACCGGGUCAGCAGGUGGAGCGGCUCUCCAGAGGCGGCCAUGUCUAACCAGGUUUACCUACCGCAGAGCGCGGCCAACCCGACGUGAAGCCAGUGGUGUCCAGCACGCCUCUGGUGGACUUCUUAAUGCAGCUGGAGGAUUACACCCCUACGAUCCCUGAUGCAGUCACUGGUUACUACCUGAACCGUGCUGGCUUUGAGGCCUCAGACCCACGCAUAAUUCGGCUUAUGUCCCUAGCUGCCCAGAAAUUCAUCUCAGAUAUUGCCAAUGAUGCCCUACAGCACUGCAAAAUGAAGGGUACAGCCUCUGGCAGCUCCCGGAGCAAUAGCAAGGACCGCAAGUAUACUCUAACCAUGGAGGACUUGACCCCUGCCCUCAGUGAAUAUGGCAUCAAUGUGAAGAAGCCGCUCUACUUCACCUGAGCCACUGAACCUAAAUGUACUUGUCUCUCCCCAUGUCCCCACACCAGCCUGUUUUC